rnacentral:rRNA from 1 species
GGAUGAACGCUGGCGGCGUGCCUAAUACAUGCAAGUCGAGCGAACGGACGAGAAGCUUGCUUCUCUGAUGUUAGCGGCGGACGGGUGAGUAACACGUGGAUAACCUACCUAUAAGACUGGGAUAACUUCGGGAAACCGGGGCUAAUACCGGAUGAUAUUUUGAACCGCAUGGUUCAAAAGUGAAAGACGGUCUUGCUGUCACUUAUAGAUGGAUCCGCGCUGCAUUAGCUAGUUGGUAAGGUAACGGCUUACCAAGGCAACGAUGCAUAGCCGACCUGAGAGGGUGAUCGGCCACACUGGAACUGAGACACGGUCCAGACUCCUACGGGAGGCAGCAGUAGGGAAUCUUCCGCAAUGGGCGAAAGCCUGACGGAGCAACGCCGCGUGAGUGAUGAAGGUCUUCGGAUCGUAAAACUCUGUUAUUAGGGAAGAACAUAUGUGUAAGUAACUGUGCACAUCUUGACGGUACCUAAUCAGAAAGCCACGGCUAACUACGUG